UCGGAAGAUUGCGAGGCGAAACGAAACCCUAGGAAAGAAUACGCGGCGGCGGAAGAGGAACGAAAUACAGGAGCUUCUUUGCGUGUUCUCUGGUUGGGCUAAGGGUGGGGAACCGGGGGAAUUUAUUGGGGCGUUGUCUAGGUUAGACUCGGGGUCGUACUUGUUUCGUAUUCAUAUUCGCCAGAGGUAGAGGACUCGACUAGGGCCUGGCCUUCCUCUAGUACGUUUCCCUUCCCAAUGUUUU
rnacentral:lncRNA from 1 species